CGCGACCCUAUAUCUUGCGGGAUUACCCGCUGAAUUUAAGCAUAUCAAUAAGCGGG
rnacentral:rRNA from 1 species